AAACGACUCUCGGCAACGGAUAUCCCGGCUCUCGCAUCGAUGAAGAACGUAGCGAAAUGCGAUACUUGGUGUGAAUUGCAGAAUCCCGUGAACCAUCGAGUCUUUGAACGCAAGUUGCGCCUGAGGCCAUUUAGGCCAAGGGCACGUCUGCCUGGGUGUCACGC
rnacentral:rRNA from 1 species